rnacentral:rRNA from 1 species
CGGGACGGGUGAGUAACGCGUGGGUAACCUGCCUUAUACAGGGGGAUAACAGUCAGAAAUGGCUGCUAAUACCGCAUAAGCGCACAGAGCUGCAUGGCUCAGUGUGGAAAACUCCGGUGGUAUAAGAUGGACCCGCGUUGGAUUAGCUUGUUGGUGGGGUAACGGCCCACCAAGGCGACGAUCCAUAGCCGGCCUGAGAGGGUGAACGGCCACAUUGGGACUGAGACACGGCCCAGACUCCUACGGGAGGCAGCAUG